rnacentral:rRNA from 1 species
AGUGAACGCUGGCGGUAGGCCUAACACAUGCAAGUCGAACGGCAGCACAGUAAGAGCUUGCUCUUACGGGUGGCGAGUGGCGGACGGGUGAGGAAUACAUCGCAAUCUACUUUUACGUGGGGGAUAACGUAGGGAAACUUACGCUAAUACCGCAUACGUCCUACGGCUGAAAGCAGGGGAUCUUCGGACCUUGCGCGAUUGAAUGAGCCGAUGUCGGAUUACCUAGUUGGCGGGGUAAAGGCCCACCAAGGCGACGAUCCGUAGCUGGUCUGAGAUGAUGAUCCGCCACACUGGAACUGAGAAACGGUCCAGACUCCUACGGGAGGGAGCAGUGAGGAAUAUUGGACAAUGGGCGCAAGCCUGCACCAGCCAUAGCGCGUGGGGGAAGAAGGCUCUCGGGUUGUAAAGCCCUUUUGUUGGGAAAGAAAAGCAGCAGGUUAAUACCCCGCUGUUCUGACGGUACCCAAAGAAUAAGCACCGGCUAACUUCGUG